UGGUUGCCUUGUCUGUCAGUGGCAGUUAGGCGCGUUCGUGCAAUAGCACACCUUCGAGUCCAGAAUCAAGCCGGUGCCUAUCCUCGACACCAGGUCCCCGAC
rnacentral:lncRNA from 1 species